CGGCGCCACAAGUGGUUAUCAUGUUUAUUGGGCCUAAAGCGUUCGUAGCCGGUUUGAUAAAUCUUCUGUGAAAUUGUCAGGCUUAACCUGACAGCGUGCAGAAGACACUAUCAAACUUGGGACCGGGAGGAGUCAGAGGUAUUUUUGGGGGAGCGGUAAAAUGCUAUAAUCCCCAGAAGACUAACUGUGGCGAAGGCGUCUGACAAGAACGGAUCCGACGGUGAUUGGAAGAAAGUCAGGGGAGCAAUCCGGAUUAGAUACCCGAGUAGUCC
rnacentral:rRNA from 1 species